rnacentral:rRNA from 1 species
GAGUUUGAUCACGGCUCAGAUUGAACGCUGGCGGCAUGCUUUACACAUGCAAGUCGAACGGUAACAGGGAGCUUGCUCCGCUGACGAGUGGCGAACGGGUGAGUAAUGCAUCGGAACGUGCCUAUUUGUGGGGGAUAACGUAGCGAAAGUUACGCUAAUACCGCAUACGCCCUGAGGGGGAAAGCGGGGGAUUCGUAAGAACCUCGCGCAAUUAGAGCGGCCGAUGUCGGAUUAGCUAGUUGGUGGGGUAAAGGCUCACCAAGGCGACGAUCCGUAGCGGGUCUGAGAGGAUGAUCCGCCACACUGGGACUGAGACACGGCCCAGAUCCUACGGGAGGCAGCAGUGGGGAAUUUUGGACAAUGGGCGAAAGCCUGAUCCAGCCAUGCCGCGUGAGUGAAGAAGGCCUUCGGGCUGUAAAGCUCUUUCAGCCGGAAAGAAAUCGCGCAGGCUAAUACUCUGCGUGGAUGACGGUACCGGAAGAGAAGCACCGGCUAACUACGUGCCAGCAGCCGCGGUAUACGUAGGGUGCGAGCGUUA